rnacentral:rRNA from 1 species
UACGAAGGGGGCUAGCGUUGCUCGGAAUCACUGGGCGUAAAGCGCACGUAGGCGGACUCUUAAGUCGGUGGUGAAAUCCUGGAGCUCAACUCCAGAACUGCCUUCGAUACUGGAGAGUCGUGAUGUCCGGGAGAGGUGAGUGGAACUGCGAGUGUAGAGGUGAAAUUCGUAGAUAUUCGCAAGACACCAGUGGCGGAAGGCGGCUCACUGGCCCGGUAUGACUG